rnacentral:rRNA from 1 species
UACGUAGGUCCCGAGCGUUGUCCGGAUUUAUUGGGCGUAAAGCGAGCGCAGGUGGUUUAAUAAGUCUGAUGUAAAAGGCAGUGGCUCAACCAUUGUGUGCAUUGGAAACUGUUAGACUUGAGUGCAGUAGAGGAGAGUGGAAUUCCAUGUGUAGCGGUGAAAUGCGUAGAUAUAUGGAGGAACACCGGUGGCGAAAGCGGCUCUCUGGACUGUCACUGACGCUCAUGCACGAAAGCGUGGGGAGCAAACAGG